AUUGAACGCUGGCGGCAGGCCUAACACAUGCAAGUCGAGCGGAUGAAGGGAGCUUGCUCCCGGAUUCAGCGGCGGACGGGUGAGUAAUGCCUAGGAAUCUGCCUGGUAGUGGGGGAUAACGUCCGGAAACGGGCGCUAAUACCGCAUACGUCCUGAGGGAGAAAGUGGGGGAUCUUCGGACCUCACGCUAUCAGAUGAGCCUAGGUCGGAUUAGCUAGUUGGUGGGGUAAAGGCCUACCAAGGCGACGAUCCGUAACUGGUCUGAGAGGAUGAUCAGUCACACUGGAACUGAGACACGGUCCGGACUCCUACGGGAGGCAGCAGUGGGGAAUAUUGGACAAUGGGCGAAAGCCUGAUCCAGCCAUGCCGCGUGUGUGAAGAAGGUCUUCGGAUUGUAAAGCACUUUAAGUUGGGAGGAAGGGCAGUAAGUUAAUACCUUGCUGUUUUGACGUUACCAACAGAAUAAGCACCGGCUAACUUCGUG
rnacentral:rRNA from 1 species